rnacentral:rRNA from 1 species
AAUGAACGCUGGCGGCAUGCCUAACACAUGCAAGUCGAACGAGACCUUCGGGUCUAGUGGCGCACGGGUGCGUAACGCGUGGGAAUCUGCCCUUGGGUUCGGAAUAACAGUUAGAAAUGACUGCUAAUACCGGAUGAUGACGAAAGUCCAAAGAUUUAUCGCCCGAGGAUGAGCCCGCGUAGGAUUAGCUAGUUGGUGAGGUAAAGGCUCACCAAGGCGACGAUCCUUAGCUGGUCUGAGAGGAUGAUCAGCCACACUGGGACUGAGACACGGCCCAGACUCCUACGGGAGGCAGCAGUGGGGAAUAUUGGACAAUGGGCGAAAGCCUGAUCCAGCAAUGCCGCGUGAGUGAUGAAGGCCUUAGGGUUGUAAAGCUCUUUUACCCGGGAUGAUAAUGACAGUACCGGGAGAAUAAGCUCCGGCUAACUUCGUGCCAGCCGCCGCAGUAAAAC